UACGUAGGGGGCAAGCGUUGUCCGGAAUCAUUGGGCGUAAAGCGCGUGUAGGCGGCUCGGUAAGUCUGCUGUGAAAGUCCAGGGCUCAACCCUGGGAUGCCGGUGGAUACUGUCGAGCUCGAGUCCGGAAGAGGCGAGCGGAAUUCCACGUGUAGCGGUGAAAUGCGUAGAGAUGUGGAGGAACACCAGUGGCGAAGGCGGCUUUUUGGUCUGUAACUGACGCUGAGGCGCGAAAGCGUGGGGAGCA
rnacentral:rRNA from 1 species